UUUGACACACACUCUGAAGGACAAACUGUGUCGAAUCAAUGCGCGGAAAGAAGUCUGGUUAAUUUGACGUGUAUGGCGGGAAAACCAAGAAAACGAGACCCAAACAGGAAUGGCGGAGGACUAUAAAAAAGUACAAACUCUGGACUAUUAAAAUGUUCAACUUUGAAGACGACACAUGAAGCCAGUAUCACCUUGUGUGAUUUGGCGGUGCUUGAGGACUGAUACAUGGAAAAGACUCCACAAUGACGAGGCAGAAAAUGUCUCUCAGGUCAGGUGCUACGCAGAUUCACGGUGUCAUGUUCGCCUCGUUUUACUUCACUAUCAGUGGAAAUGUUCAGUUUAAUCUCCAGAGACUCGUCCCGCAACGGUCUGCAUGGAGAGACAAGCGGUGAGGCGGGCCCGAGAGGCCUUCCUGAGCGGCAGGACCCGACCGGUGGAGUUCAGACUGCAGCAGCUUCACGCUCUGCAGAAGAUGAUCACCGAGAAGGAGACGGAGAUCUCCACUGCUCUCAAACAGGACAUCAACAGGAGUCAGUACGACACGCCGCUCCUGGAGCUGAUUGGCAUCGAGAACGAGAUCAAGCUGGCCAUAGAUAAGCUGUCAGACUGGGCGGCUCCUCGGUCGGUGGAGAGGAACCUGUUCACCUUAAAGGACGAGGUUUACAUCCAGCCUGAGCCUCUGGGAGUGGUGCUCAUCAUCGGGGCCUGGAACUAUCCCUGGGCCGUGACCCUGCAGCCGCUGGUCGGAGCCAUCGCCGCUGGGAACGCAGCUGUGGUGAAGCCGUCAGAGCUCAGCGAGUGCUCCUCCCUCCUCCUCCGGGCUCUGCUGCCUCGCUAUCUCGACAAGGACCUGUACCCGGUUGUGACAGGCGGCGUGUCAGAGACUCAGGAUCUGCUGAGGCUCCGCUUCGAUCACAUCUUCUACACGGGGAACAGCACGGUGGGCAAACAGGUGAUGGAGGCUGCGGCUCGACACUUGACCCCAGUCACCCUGGAGCUGGGAGGGAAGAGUCCCUGCUACAUUGACAAGGACUGUGACAUCAGGAUCGCCUGCCGUCGCAUCACGUGGGGAAAGUUUGUAAACUGCGGACAGACGUGCAUCGCUCCAGACUACAUCCUGUGUGAGCCGUGCAUCCAGGGCCGCGUGGUGGAGUGCAUCCGACAAACUCUUCUGGAAUUUUACGGCGCCGAUCCUAAAUGCUCCCCAGACUUUGGCCGAAUCAUCAACCAGCGUCACUUCAUCAGGAUCCUGGGUCUGAUGGAGGGUUACACUCCUGUGAUUGGAGGACAGAGCGACGCCUCACAGCGGUACAUCGCCCCCACAGUGCUCAAAGACGUGCCCCCCCACUCCAGACUCAUGCAGGAGGAGAUCUUCGGCCCCCUGCUGCCCAUCGUCACCGUGAGCGACAUGGACGACGCCAUCCGCUUCGUCAACGAGAGAGAGAAGCCACUGGCUCUCUACAUCUUCUGCAAAGACAAGAAGGCGAUUAAAAAGAUGAUCGAGGAAACAACAAGCGGAGGAGUGACGGUCAACGAUGUUCUGAUGCAUUACACGCUGAGCUCGCUCCCUUUUGGUGGAGUAGGUCAGAGCGGGAUGGGUCGAUACCACGGCAAACACUCCUUCGACCAGCUGAGCCACCAGAAGGCGUGCCUGGUCCGCUCUCUGGGCAUGGAGAGCCUCAAUCUGUCCCGGUACCCGCCCCAGGACCGGCAGCGGGCGCGCAGGGUGCGGAGGGUGCUCAAGUCCUCGCUCAUCGACAUGUCGAAGAGGACGCUCAUCUGGGCCGUCACCGCCACCAUCAUCGGCUUCGGCCUCUUUGUCACCCUGCUGGUCAUCCUCCUCAUCGCUGCAGGACUCAACUGCACCUGCUGGUACUGGAGAGGCAUCUAUAACUACUACUGGUGAAGCAUCAGCAGACAGAAACAGCUGACACCAGAGACAUAUAAAGAGGCAGGAAAGAGAACUUCAAGUGAAGACUUAAUGGAUUCAGCUUGUAAAGACCAGCAGCAGGAAACAGCUGACAUCCCGGCACCCUGUUUCAGCUCUAACAGCCUGGGAUCAGUUUUCUCAGUGAGCUCCUGGAGGUCUGAAGACCUGCUGAGUACCGCAGUGCAGGGAGGCUGUUUGUUGUGCAUGAGCAGAUCUCCGUCUAUCCCGUGUAUGUUUACAGCGCCUGUUUCGAGUUUAGAAGAAGCGUCUGUCUGUGUAAGGAUCCUCCUGAAAUGUCACUUAAAGUAACAAUGUGUGACUUUCAGAUCCUCCUUAUCGGACGUUUACACCCCAAUAGAGCCCAGGUUAAGGAACACCAGACGUCCUCUCACAGCUGUCAGCAUCAGGACUUAAAACAGACGUUUAUUACUUCAGCUUCAGUCUCUCCUGACUGGAUCUGCUGUAAUGAACCUGCAGUGUGGACGCCACCUUGUUUGUGUCAGAAACUGUCUGUCACUCAGGACAGAUUGAUGCUGUCAGUGCUGCUGCAGCUCCCACAGGUUACUGAGCAUCAGGGAAAGGUCACAGAUCACUGAGGGAACAAUCUGCACUCUCAGAUCGUGAAACGUUCUGUGGUUUGACGUUUGCUGCAGCUGUGAUCUUGUUUUUGCAGCCAGACGUUGGUUCACGGUCAAAGAGAAGCAAAGGGUUAAUAACAUAAAUAAAGCAGAGCUCUUAUCGAUGCUCCUUGUAUUUGAUCCAUGAAGGUUUGGUCAUGAAUUGUAAUGCUCAGUGGAUCAAAAGUUGGACAGCUGAUCUAAAACUGGAGCUCAGGUAUUUAAAUUUUCUCAUCCCCCUCCAUAGACCGAGGUUCAUUCGAGUUAAAUAUUUUCAGAAGAACUUUGUUGACACUCGACUUUCACUCUGACGGGUAAAGCAGCAGGAUCUGACAUUCCUCCGUGUCUCUGACCUCCUGUCGGGGUUUCUCCUCCCAGUUGUCGGAUGACUCACGCUCUGCAGGAGAGUCCUCUCUUCCUUUCUGCAGGAUCUCAAAGUUUACUUUUGCAGAUAUUUGCCCUCAUUUGUCCUCUCUGCAGAAAACACACCCUGCCAAAGAGCCGUCAACGCAGCAGCUGGUUGACUGAACUCUGCUGGCAGCGAGCCUCUCUCUCACACACACACACACAGUCACACACACAGUCACUAACACGCACACUGCAUCUUUAAACAGAAGAUAUCCCUGCACACACACAUUCUAUCCUGCUGACUUUUGGCUUGAGGAUGCUUCAUGUGAGGGUCAAUAUUUCUCACGUCUCUUGUUUUUAUUUGAACUUUGAUCUUUUGAUUUAUGCAACAUUUUCAUUUGGAAUAUAAAAGUUGUAAAUCUGGAUCAGGUGUGAAGCUUAACACACGCCUGCAUGCUUUUAAAACAUGUCUAAACUUCUGGUUUGGAGGCUGAAGAAUCAAUCAGGUUUUUGGAGGUCCAUGCAGACACAUUACUUGUGCUCGAACAUCAAAAUAAAAAACUGAUGCAUGCAAAACAAAGAGAAAAUGAAUGAUGUUAUAUCUUAAAAUCUUUGUCUCCUUGAGGUGACGUUUCAAAGGCUAGGUGAAGGAAACAAGAGAGCGACCUUUGAGCCAAACGUGGGUACAGUUUGAACGGGAGAGAGGAGGACGUUCAAGGUCAACGUCAUGCAUUUUUGCAUUAUUUGCAUUAAAUUAUUGUUAUGAGACUAUCUAAUUCUCUUCAAACACACAGAGAGAGAAAUUAUUCAUGCACAGUUAAACUGUAUCGUUCUGCAUCAAAGCUGGAGCAGGUGUCACUUUGUGCUGCAAACAAAGGAGGAGGACUCGUGUGCAGAGAUGUGAGGAAUUAUUAAAAGAACAAAAACGCAAAAGAUAAAACGAAAUAAUGUCCAAAUGAAAACAUCGGGGAACACGAGAAGGAGAAUCAUAAAGAACACAGAGACUAAACAAGCUACAGGUGUGGACACAGGACGCAGGUGACACCAAAGAGGGUCGUUAAAGUGGAGAGCUUUAAAAGGAAUCAGUGAAAUCUUAAAAUCAUUCUAAAACAUGCAGGAAGCCGGUGUAAAUACUGUGCAUGCUGUCAGUAGGUGGCGGUAUGCAACAUUAAAAGUCGGUUUGCAAUCUGCGAUUAAAAUGAGAGAAGAAGAAGAACCAGAAAACUCUGUUAUCUUUAAAAAUAUUUAAAAGUUUGAAUGAUUUAAUGUUUGCAGUACAAUCUUUAAAUAUAAUCUCUUUAGAUAAAUAAAAUCUGCAUAUGUGGAGCACAGGAACACAUCCAGACUAAUCAGUGAGAGAGGUCCACACCUGAGCUCCAGGUAAUCAGGCAGAGGGCGGAGUCGUCUCUUUGUCUUCUUGAGGAAGCUGCAGAGCGAGCAGCCUGCGUGUGAACAUGUGGUCCCUGCAGCUCCUCGUGGUCGCCUUGAUGCUAGCAUGUUUCAGUCUGAGUGACGCUCGAGUCCUCGGUGUGAGAGAGCCAACGCACCGGGGGACGGAGGAGCAGAGGCCUGCAGAGGUGGAGGCUGAACCUGAGAGAGGGAACUCCAGGGAGGCUGCACGACUAGCUGACGGGGUCUACCAGAAGAGGAUCUGGCCUCAGAUUGAACCGCUCACUUGGAGGUUUCCAGAGCAUUCAGUGGAGCCUGAGGUCAAAGCUCCUGUUCGGAUCGAAGCCAGGCCGCUGAAGAAGAAAGAGCGAGUCGCUGUGAGGUGUGGGGAGAGCAGGAUUCAGGUGGAGGUGAGCCAGGACCUGCUGGGUCUCGGCAGGAGGAUCAAACCAGAGGAGCUCACACUUGGUGGUUGUUCAGCCACAGAGGUGGACGACUCCUCUCACGUGCUGGUGUUUGAAAGUGAGCUGCACGGCUGUAACAGCAGACUCGUGAUGACGGAUGACGCCUUUAUUUACGCCUUCACGCUGGUCUACGAACCCAGAGAGUCGAGCAGAGGAGGCAUCACGAGGAGUCAGAGCGCUGUCAUCGGAGCAGAGUGUCACUUCCCUAGAUGAACCUGGACACCUGUCAGACACUGAAAAGUAAAACAGAUGAUGUGUUUUAUAAGGAAUAAAAAUAAAAGCUUUUACAUCUUA